UAGGUCUGUGACUCUCCCAUCCGUGUGCUCUGUCACCAGCACACACAUUCCUUCCUUGUCCUCAGCUUCUGUAAUUACACUCCGAUUUAAAAUCUAAGUCACUAAAUGCAAAUCUGAGUUUUAUGUUUAAGUGUCUAUUGAAGGAAAGUAGCUCCUACAGCUAUGAGAUGAAGAAGCAGAGCUUGCAGCUCCUGCUUCUCUUGCAGAACAUUAUCCUGGUGGAUUAUCUGUCAAGAUAUCAACGUGGUAAAGGGCAGAAGGUUGAAAACCACAUCAAUAGAGAUGCUCUGCCAAGAAGAAAUCACUGCUGUGAAGGUCCCUGAGUCAGAGUAUCACAGUUUUUUAAAGAGAAGAAUUGAAUAGCACUUGCAACUACCAAGGUGCAGAGAUGUACAUGAUUAUGCAGGAUGCCGUGCAAUAGGAUCUCAAGCUGUUACACCCAGGCAAACUUGGAUCACUCUCAGUUGACCUCCGCUCCUCCGGCACUUGAGACUUCAUGUGUGGUAACGCGGUGGGGGAUGCGACAGAGAUGAACUGAGGAGGACUCUGCAUCAGUAUUGAACUACAUUCAGGGCCCUUGGGUCACUUAGAGGUCAUGGAAGCUGAGAUGUAGGAAGGCAGUAGCAAUUCUGCAAAUUACAGCUUGGGACUACAACAGAAAGCAAAUAACUUGGCAAUAAAAAAAGCAAAACAAAUGCAUCAUGUUCUUACUCUGGGUAAACUGCAGCAUUUCAAGCAAUUGAGUCCUAUUUUCAACACGGUCAGGCCCUUCCUAGGAAAUCAGGAGCCAUACUGUGAGGUCCUUAUUCAGAUUAGCAGUAAUUUGGGUAAGUAAUGCUAGGGAAGUGAAUGAGGAUGAUGAUGCAAGUCACUGCUUACCAAAAACUUUGCAGCAUGACUUCUAACUCUAUGAAUCUUUUAUAUUAGACACAUGUAAUAAUACUCAGAGAAGCACUACACUUAUUUUCUGAUCUUAGAUGAAAGCCUUGACCUUGCAUUCAGGUAGAGGGACUGCUGUGGAUACGUGGGGUGGAAUACGCAGAGCUCACUGAAACACUUGAAAUGUAAUUUUGUGUCCUGUCAUUUCCAUGUGUCACAUGUUGUGCAUCUGUAUUUUCCUUUUAACUACCCAAUAUAAUAUGAAAUAUUAUUUCAUCCUUUCAUACUCUUGACACAUCUGUUCAUCUCAUUCUUCAGUAUAAAAUGGUGUGAUCCAAAGUACUAAGAUAAUUUUGCAGUUAGAAUUUUGCUCAGAGGAUAUAAUUUCAUUAUUUAGUAGAGCACUAAGAAAAAAGCUCAUUAUAAUCAAGAAAAAAAAAGUCUCACAACCAUUGCAACCAGUUGCAUUCCA